UACGAAGGGGGCUAGCGUUGCUCGGAUUGACUGGGCGUAAAGAGCGCGUAGGCGGUCCGAUAAGUCGGCUGUGAAAGUCAGGGGCUCAACCCUUGAAAGCCGGCCGAUACUGUCGGACUAGAGUCCGGAAGAGGCAAGUGGAAUUCCCGGUGUAGCGGUGAAAUGCGCAGAUAUCGGGAGGAACACCAAUGGCGAAGGCAGGUCUCUGGGCCGAUACUGACGCUGAGGAGCGAAAGCGUGGGGAGCGAACAGG
rnacentral:rRNA from 1 species